rnacentral:rRNA from 1 species
UUAUCUCUGUAGAGUCUGCAUAUCAAUAAGCGGAGGAAAAGAAACUAACUAGGAUUCCCUUAGUAACGGCGAGUGAAGCGGGAAGAGCUCAAAUUUGAAAUCUUCAAGGUUCUACCUUGACGAAUUGUAGUUUAUAGAAGUGUUUUCUGUUGGAGUUUUGGUAAAAGUUCUUUGGAAUAGGACAUCAUAGAGGGUGAGAAUCCCGUAUUUGACCAUUUCUUCCAGCUGUGUGAUACACUUUCAAAGAGUCGGAUUGUUUGGGAAUGCAGUCCAAAAUGGGUGGUAAAUUUCAUCUAAAGCUAAAUAUUGGCGAGAGACCGAUAGCGAACAAGUACCGUGAGGGAAAGAUGAAAAGAACUUUGAAAAGAGAGUUAAACAGUACGUGAAAUUGUCAAAGGGGAAGCGUUUGACACCAGUGUUGUUUUCUCGAAAAUCAAUUAAAAAUGGCCGGAUUUUGUGUUGUAUUGACUUUAUCAGCUUUCUGCACUUUUUUCUUGUCUUUUUCAAUGCACUUUUCGUUUAACAAGUCAACCUCAAUUUCUUUUGUUGUAAAAGAGUCAUUGGAAGGUGGCUUUCACUUCGGUGAAAGUGUUUAUAGCCUUUGACUUCUGCAAUCGGAGAGAUUGAGGUCUGCAGCGUAGAUCCUUCGGGGUUAGAUACAUUUGUGCUAAGUUAUAGUUUUUCAUAGACAACAUGUUGACUAUGAUUAGUCAUGUAGCUUACUCGCUUAUGCUAUUUUACCUACGCUUAGGAUGUUGAGUAGCGACAUACGCAC